rnacentral:sRNA from 1 species
GCUGGGCACAGUGGCACAUGCCUGUAAUCCCAGCUGCUAGGGAGGCUAAGGCAGGAGGAUCAUGAGUUCAAAGCCAGCCUCAGCAACAGGAGGCACUAAGCAACUCAAUGAGACCCUGUCUCUA